AUAUAUAUAUAUAUAUAUAUAUAUAUAUAUAUAUAUUAUAAUGUUUGUAAAUAGAGAUCCUGUAAACUGGCUUCCUGUGGUGCUCACACAUACGGUACAUUGCACAGGCCAGCCAUCCAAUGAUGGACAGCCAGCAAACAAUUGUGAUAUAUCAAUGGAUAGCUGGCGGUUUGCACCGCGUGUUGCGGUGCACCGCAGGAUCUACGAUCGAGAUUCUGUAUAUGAAUAUUUCAGCAACUUAAAUCGUCACUCAAUUAGUGCGUUGUAUUCUUGAUAAUUGAUAACGAAGUAGGGGUUAUUGAUGCAGGACAGCUGGGUGAUUUUAUAAAAUAAUUUUUUCGAGUUAGCAUAACAUUGCUCCCCUCUCAUACAUGAAAAGAUUUUGUUAUGCUCUCACUUGCUCGCAAUCUGUAGCAAUUCAACCAUUUCAUUGUAAAAGCUUCUAUUUGAUAGCUCGGAAUAGAUGAUUGGGCAUUGGUGUAGUGUUUGCAACUUUUCUUUGGAAGAGGUUUUGAAUUUGAAUUUUAGGAGUUUGGACUUUGGAUCCUCUCAAGAUUUAGGGAUCCAUUCUUGCUACCAUGACGAUCCAUGUGUCAGUUGAUGGUUCUUGAUUGCUUAGGUCCUACAAUACUUACAAUGUGCUAUUUUAUAUGUUGUAAUAGAUCAUACUAAUUAUAUCUGAGUUCCAGGGGUAUAUUGACUACUUAUAAUUUGAAAAGUUCGUGACCUUGAAUAAGUUAAAAGAUUUUUGCUUGGCUUGGCGG
rnacentral:lncRNA from 1 species